rnacentral:rRNA from 1 species
CCUACGGGAGGCAGCAGUGAGGAAUAUUGGUCAAUGGGCGCUAGCCUGAACCAGCCAAGUAGCGUGAAGGAUGACUGCCCUAUGGGUUGUAAACUUCUUUUAUAUUGGAAUAAAGUGCAGUACGUUUACUUCUUUGCAUGUACUUUAUGAAUAAGGAUCGGCUAACUCCGUGCCAGCAGCCGCGGUAAUACGGAGGAUCCGAGCGUUAUCCGGAUUUAUUGGGUUUAAAGGGAGCGUAGGCGGGUUGUUAAGUCAGUUGUGAAAGUUUGCGGCGCAACCGUAAAAUUGCAGUUGAUACUGGCAGUAUUGAGUACAGUAGAGGUAGGCGGAAUUCGUGGUGUAGCGGUGAAAUGCUUAGAUAUCACGAAGAACUCCGAUUGCGAAGGCAGCUUGCUGAACUGUAACUGACGCUGAUGCUCGAAAGUGUGGGUAUCAAACAGGAUUAGAUACCCGUGUAGUC